AACUUUGAGUGAUAGAUCACUCAGCUCGUGGGUCGAUGAAGAGUGCAGCCAAUUGUGUGAAUUAAUGUGAACUGUAUACUGCUUUGAACAUGGACAUUUUGAACGCAUGCUUGCCGAUAUCUCUCUGACGGUAG
rnacentral:rRNA from 1 species